rnacentral:rRNA from 1 species
UACGUAGGGGGCAAGCGUUGUCCGGAUUUAUUGGGCGUAAAGAGCUCGUAGGUGGUUCGGUAAGUCGGAUGUGAAAUCUCCAGGCUCAACCUGGAGGGGUCAUUCGAUACUGCCGUGACUAGAGGUCGGUAGGGGAGUGUGGAAUUCCUGGUGGAGCGGUGAAAUGCGCAGAUAUCAGGAGGAACACCCGUAGCGAAGGCGGGUCUCUGGGCCGAUACUGACGCUGGAGGCGCGAAAGCUAGGGGAGCGAACGGG